rnacentral:rRNA from 1 species
UGGGGGAUAUUGCACAAUGGAGGAAACUCUGAUGCAGCAACGCCGCGUGAGGGAAGAAGGUCUUCGGAUUGUAAACCUUAGUAGUCAGGGACGAAAGAAAUGACGGUACCUGAAGAGUAAGCUCCGGCUAACUACGUGCCAGCAGCCGCGGUAAUACGUAGGGAGCGAGCGUUGUCCGGAUUUACUGGGUGUAAAGGGUGCGUAGGCGGGACUGCAAGUCAGACGUGAAAUACCGAGGCUUAACUUCGGGGCUGCGUUUGAAACUGUGGUUCUUGAGUGAAGUAGAGGCAGGCGGAAUUCCUAGUGUAGCGGUGAAAUGCGUAGAUAUUAGGAGGAACACCAGUGGCGAAGGCGGCCUGCUGGGCUUUAACUGACGCUGAAGCACGAAAGCAUGGGGAGCAAACAGGAUUAGAUACCCUGGUAGUCCAUGCCGUAAACGAUGAUAGCUAGGUGUGGGGGGACUGACCCCUUCCGUGCCGCAGCAAACGCAAUAAGCUAUCCACCUGGGGAGUACGACCGCAAGGUUGAAACUCAAAUGAAUUGACGGGGGUCAUAGCUGUUUUUCCU